GCAACAACAGACAGACAGAGGAGGGGAGAGCAACAACAGAGACAGACAAUGAAGGAGAGCAACAACAGACAGACAAUGAAGGAGAGCAACAACAGAGACAGACAAUGAAGGAGAGCAACAACAGACAGACAAUGAAGGAGAGAAACAACAGAGACAGACAAUGAAGGAGAGCAACAACAGACAGACAAUGAAGGAGAGCAACAACAGAGACAGACAAUGAAGGAGAGCAACAACAGACAGACAAUGAAGGAGAGAAACAACAGAGACAGACAAUGAAGGAGAGCAACAACAGACAGACAAUGAAGGAGAGCAACAACAGACAGACAAUGAAGGAGAGCAACAACAGACAGACAAUGAAGAAGAGCAACAACAGAGACAGACAAUGAAGGAGAGCAACAACAGACAGACAAUGAAGGAGAGCAACAACAGACAGACAAUGAAGGAGAGCAACAACAGAGACAGACAAUGAAGGAGAGCAACAACACAGACAGACAAUGAAGGAGAGCAACAACAGACAGACAAUGAAGGAGAGCAACAACAGAGACAGACAAUGAAGGAGAGCAACAACAGAGACAGACAAUGAAGGAGAGCAACAACAGACAGACAGAGGAGGGGAGAGCAACAACAAAGACAGACAAUGAAGGAGAGCAACAACAGACAGACAAUGAAGGAGAGCAACAACAGAGACAGACAAUGAAGGAGAGCAACAACAGACAGACAAUGAAGGAGAGCAACAACAGACAGACAAUGAAGGAGAGCAACAACAGACAGACAAUGAAGGAGAGCAACAACAGACAGACAAUGAAGAAGAGCAACAACAGAGACAGACAAUGAAGGAGAGCAACAACAGAGACAGACAAUGAAGGAGAGCAACAACAGACAGACAGAGGAGGGGAGAGCAACAACAGAGACAGACAAUGAAGGAGAGCAACAACAGACAACUGAGGACUUUCAGCUCCCAAUUUCACCAUGAACUCCUCUGAUCUGAGAGAGAUUUCCUCACUCCAGCAAACGAGAGAUGUUGAUUGACAGUGAAGCUGGGUGAGUCGUCACAUCCAGGAGAAACACAGAGAGACGGGAAACUCUACAGAGAGGAAACACAGAAUAGAGAAGGAGAAAAGUGUAGGAGAGGAACGAAUGAAUCUCAGACUGAAUCAGACCAAAGACACACUUGGGAUCUCAGACAGGAACAUUUAUUGUUGCUGUAAUGUGUGUGUGUGUGUGUGUGUGUGUGUGUGUGUGUGUGUGUGUGUGUGUGUGUGUUUCACGCCUCACUUUAAUAGUGUCCAGAGUCUGUUUCAGCUCCUGCACCUUCUUCUGCUCCUCCUGGAUCCUCUGCUGGGAUUUCAUCUGCUCCUCCUUUAGCUCAUUCUGAGGCUAAAUAAAAUACAUUUUAUUAUUUCUGGAUCAAAAACUCAGUGUGUCAAUAUGAACUGCAACUAAACGUUUAAAGUUUUAAUGAGAAAGUAAAGUCUCAUCUCAUCUCAUUAUCUCUAGCCGCUUUAUCCUGUUCUACAGGGUCGCAGGCAAGCUGGAGCCUAUCCCAGCUGACUACGGGCAAAAGG